rnacentral:rRNA from 1 species
UACGUAGGCGGGCAAUUAAGUCAGAGGUGAAAUCCCACAGCUCAACUGUGGAACUGCCUUUGAUACUGGUUGUCUUGAGUUACAGUGAAGUAGAUAGAAUAUGUAGUGUAGCGGUGAAAUGCAUAGAUAUUACAUAGAAUACCGAUUGCGAAGGCAGUCUACUAACUGUAUACUGACGCUAAUGGACGAAAGCGUGGGGAGCGAACAGGAUUAGAGACCCGAGUAGUCC